AAAAAGGUAAGCUAAAAUAAGCUAUUAGGCCCAUAACCUAAAUAUAGAAUUAACUUUCUCCUUUUUA
rnacentral:tRNA from 1 species